rnacentral:rRNA from 1 species
UACGUAGGGGGCAAGCGUUGUCCGGAUUUAUUGGGCGUAAAGAGCGUGUAGGCGGCCAGACAGGUCCGUUGUGAAAACUCGAGGCUCAACCUCGAGACGCCGAUGGAAACCGUCUGGCUAGAGUCCGGAAGAGGAGAGUGGAAUUCCUGGUGUAGCGGUGAAAUGCGUAGAUAUUGGGAGGAACACCAGUGGCGAAGGCGGCUCACUGGACCGGUACUGACGCUGAUGCGCGAAAGCGUGGGGAGCAAACGGG